rnacentral:rRNA from 1 species
GUCGAGCGGACUUGAUGGAGUGCUUGCACUCCUGAUGGUUAGCGGCGCCCUCCAAGAGUAACACGUAGGCAACCUGCCCUCAAGACUGGGAUAACUACCGGAAACGGUAGCUAAUACCGGAUAAUUUAUUUCGCAGCAUUGUGGAAUAAUGAAAGACGGAGCAAUCUGUCACUUGGGGAUGGGCCUGCGGCGCAUUAGCUAGUUGGUGGGGUAAUGGCCCACCAAGGCGACGAUGCGUAGCCGACCUGAGAGGGUGAACGGCCACACUGGGACUGAGACACGGCCCAGACUCCUACGGGAGGCAGCAGUAGGGAAUCUUCCGCAAUGGGCGAAAGCCUGACGGAGCAACGCCGCGUGAGUGAUGAAGGUUUUCGGAUCGUAAAGCUCUGUUGCCAAGGAAGAACGUCUUCUAGAGUAACUGCUAGGAGAGUGACGGUACUUGAGAAGAAAGCCCCGGCUAACUACGUGCCAGCAGCCGCGGUAAUACGUAGGGGGCAAGCGUUGUCCGGAAUUAUUGGGCGUAAAGCGCGCGCAGGCGGUUCUUUAAGUCUGGUGUUUAAACCCGAGGCUCAACUUCGGGUCGCACUGGAAACUGGGGGACUUGAGUGCAGAAGAGGAGAGUGGAAUUCCACGUGUAGCGGUGAAAUGCGUAGAUAUGUGGAGGAACACCAGUGGCGAAGGCGACUCUCUGGGCUGUAACUGACGCU